CACGUAGGGCGCAAGCGUUGUCCGGAAUUAUUGGGCGUAAAGAGCUCGUAGGCGGUCUGUUGCGUCUGCUGUGAAAACCCGGGGCUUAACCCCUGGCUUGCAGUGGAUACGGACAGACUAGAGGUAGGUAGGGGAGAAUGGAAUUCCCGGUGUAGCGGUGAAAUGCGCAGAUAUCGGGAGGAACACCGGUGGCGAAGGCGGUUCUCUGGGCCGUGCCUGACGCUGAGGAGCGAAAGCGUGGGGAGCGAACAGG
rnacentral:rRNA from 1 species